GGGGGUAUGGUGAAAUAGGUAAACACGACGGACUUUGAAGGGACCUUUAGGUCACCUCUGUAAAUGCACUGAAUUCACACAGCUGGCCAUAAAACAGUGCCUCCACGUUUUCGAGUUAAAUGUUAAGUGGUGCAGAGACUUCUCCAGAGUAUAGAUUUGUAAAUGGCGAGUCCUCAUUUGCCCUCUUAAUGACUAUGUAGUGAAAAUCCGUUGACUAUUGCAGUCUUGAGGGUUCAAGUCCCUCUACCCCCA
rnacentral:tRNA from 1 species